GAUGAACGCUGGCGGCGUGCCUAAUACAUGCAAGUCGAGCGAACAGAUAAGGAGCUUGCUCCUUUGAAGUUAGCGGCGGACGGGUGAGUAACACGUGGGUGACCUACCUAUAAGACUGGGAUAACUUCGGGAAACCGGAGCUAAUACCGGAUAACAUUUAGAACCGCAUGGUUCUAAAGUGAAAGAUGGUUUCGCUAUCACUUAUAGAUGGACCCGCGCCGUAUUAGCUAGUUGGUAAGGUAACGGCUUACCAAGGCGACGAUACGUAGCCGACCUGAGAGGGUGAUCGGCCACACUGGAACUGAGACACGGUCCAGACUCCUACGGGAGGCAGCAGUAGGGAAUCUUCCGCAAUGGGCGAAAGCCUGACGGAGCAACGCCGCGUGAGUGAUGAAGGGUUUCGGCUCGUAAAACUCUGUUAUUAGGGAAGAACAAAUGUGUAAGUAACUGUGCACAUCUUGACGGUACCUAAUCAGAAAGCCACGGCUAACUACGUG
rnacentral:rRNA from 1 species